UACGUAGGGGGCAAGCGUUGUCCGGAUUUAUUGGGCGUAAAGAGCGUGUAGGCGGCCGUACAGGUCAGCUGUGAAAGCUCGAGGCUCAACCUCGAGACGUCGGUUGAAACCGUACGGCUAGAGUCCGGAAGAGGAGAGUGGAAUUCCCGGUGUAGCGGUGAAAUGCGCAGAUAUCGGGAAGAACACCCGUGGCGAAGGCGGCUCUCUGGGACGGUACUGACGCUGAGACGCGAAAGCGUGGGGAGCGAACAGG
rnacentral:rRNA from 1 species